UACGGAGGGGGCUAGCGUUGCUCGGAAUCACUGGGCGUAAAGCGCACGUAGGCGGAUCGUUAAGUCAGGGGUGAAAUCCUGGAGCUCAACUCCAGAACUGCCUUUGAUACUGGCGACCUUGAGUUCGGGAGAGGUGAGUGGAACUGCGAGUGUAGAGGUGAAAUUCGUAGAUAUUCGCAAGAACACCAGUGGCGAAGGCGGCUCACUGGCCCGAUACUGACGCUGAGGUGCGAAAGCGUGGGGAGCAAACAGG
rnacentral:rRNA from 1 species